UGAACGCGGCGGAUGCUUACACAUGCAAGUCGAACGGGUCAUGGGGCUGCUCCAUGACCUAGUGGCGAACGGGUGAGUAAUACAUAGGAACGUGUCCCGUAGUGGGGGAUAACGCACCCGAAAGGUGUGCUAAUACCGGCAUAUGCUCUGAAGGAGGAAAGCCGGGGGGACCGGUAACGGCCAUGCGCUAUGGGAGCGGCCUAUGUCCGAUUAGCUAGUUGGUGAGGUAAAGGCUCACCAAGGCGACGAUCGGUAGCUGGUCUGAGAGGAUGAUCAGCCACACUGGAAGUGAGACACGGUCCAGACUCCUACGGGAGGCAGCAGUGGGGAAUUUUGGACAAUGGGGGCAACCCUGAUCCAGCCAUUCCGCGUGAGUGAAGAAGGCCUUCGGGUUGUAAAGCUCUUUCGGCAGGGAAGAAACGGUUACGGUGAAUAUCCGUGACUAAUGACGGUACCUGACUAAGAAGCACCGGCUAACUACGUGCCAGCAGCCGCGGUAAUACGUAGGGUGCGAGCGUUAAUCGGAAUUACUGGGCGUAAAGCGUGCGCUGGCGGUUUUGUAAGUCAGAUGUGAAAGCCCCGGGCUUAACCUGGGAACUGCGUUUGAAACUGCAAGGCUAGAGUUUGGCAGAGGGGGGUAGAAUUCCACGUGUAGCAGUGAAAUGCGUAGAUAUGUGGAGGAACACCGAUGGCGAAGGCAGCCCCCUGGGUCAAAACUGACGCUCAUGCACGAAAGCGUGGGGAGCAAACAGGAUUAGAUACCCUGGUAGUCCACGCCCUAAACGAUGUCAACUAGUUGUCGGGGAGGGUGACCUCUUUGUAACGCAGCUAACGCGUGAAGUGACCGC
rnacentral:rRNA from 1 species